rnacentral:rRNA from 1 species
CUGCACAGCCAUAUCUCCUUGAAUGCAUCCAAUCUCAUCUGAUCUCGGAGGCUAAGCAAGGUCAAACAUGGUUAGUGGUUGAAUGGA